AGCUGAGGCACAGGGUUCUCCCAGGACUGUCUUCAGCUGUUCCCCUCUGGAGGUUUAUACCUUCACACCUUAAGGGCCGCGGUUUCCGCUGGCCCUUUUUU
rnacentral:sRNA from 1 species